UAUGCUACUAUUUAUUUCACAUAACUUCAAAUCAAAAUCUCUUUCGUUUCCAUCCCGCUCCGAUUCUAAAUGCACUUCCCCUCCAAAGCCAACCUCCUCCGUCCAGUGAACAUCGCCCCCAAACGGGCAGCAGAGCAGCAUUGCUUAUCUCUCCUCCAAACCUGCACCUCUCUCUCUCACCUCACCCAAAUCCACUCCCUCCUCCUCAAACUAGGCCUCCAACACAACCCUCUAGUCCUCACCAAAUUCACUUCCACCUCCUCAACCCUCAACGCCAUCCACUAUGCCUCCUCCCUUCUCUUCUCCUCUAACAACAACAUCACUCACUACGACGCUUUCCUUUUCAACACUGUCAUCAGAGCCUACUCUCAAACUAGUAGUCACUCCACUGCUGUUUACUAUUACAAACUUAUGCUAAAGAAUGGGGUUUUGCCCAAUAAGUUUACUUACCCAUUUGUGCUCAAGGCCUGUGCUUGUGUUGGGAGGUUGAGUUUAGGCGAACAGGUUCAUGGGUCGGUGAUUAAAGUCGGUUUCGAUAACGAUAUUCAUGUUGGGAACACUUUGGUUCAUGCGUAUGGGUGUUGUGGAGGUGGGAUUGGGUUUGCACGUAAGGUGUUCGAUGAAAUGCCCGAGUGGGAUUCAGUGUCGUGGAGUGCGAUGAUUGGUGGGUAUGCUCGGUUAGGCAUGUCGAGCGAGGCGGUGGGUUUGUUUAGGGAGAUGCAGGUUGCUCGGGUUAGGCCGGAUGAGGUUACUAUGGUUACGGUUUUGUCUGCAUGUACCGAUUUAGGUGCACUGGAACUUGGGAGAUGGGUGGAGUCUUAUAUUGAGAGGGAAAAGGUUCCGAAAAGUGUGGAGCUUUGUAAUGCAGUCAUAGGGAUGUAUGCGAAGUGCGGUGAUGUUGAUAAAGCAUUGAACUUGUUCAGGAAGAUGAGUGAAAAGACUAUUGUUUCGUGGACUUCUGUGAUUGUUGGUUUGGCAAUGCACGGUCAUGGUUUGGAGGCAGUUUCUUUGUUUGAAGAGAUGAAAGAAGAUGGGUUGGUCCCAGAUGACGUAGUUUUUAUUGGGUUACUCUCAGCUUGUAGUCAUUCGGGAUUAGUAGAGGAAGGUUGGCGGUAUUUCAAUUCAAUGUUGGAGGGAUUUGGAAUUGUGCCAAAGAUAGAACACUAUGGCUGCAUGGUGGAUCUUUUAAGCAGGGCUGGACUCGUUAAGGAGGCGCUAGACUUUGUUCAGAAGAUGCCCAUUGAGCCAAAUCAAAUUAUUUGGCGAACCCUGAUUGCUGCUUGCCGUUCCCAUGGAGAACUCAAUCUUGGUGAAAGUAUCACAAAACAGCUUAUCAGGAAUGAGCCUAUGCGCGAGUCGAAUUACAUACUGCUUUCCAAUAUUUAUGCAAAGAAGUCCCAUUGGGAAAAGAAAACCAAAAUUAGGGAGGUGAUGGAGAAGAAAGGAAUGAGAAAGAUCCCAGGGAGCACUAUGAUUGAGCUUGAUAACGAAAUCUACGAAUUUGUGGCGGGAGAUAAGGCGCAUAAUUUGUACAAAGAGAUUUACGAGAUGGUGGAUGAGAUGGGGAGGGAGAUGAAAAGGGCUGGAUAUCUUCCCACUACAUCAGAGGUGUUACUGGAUAUUGAUGAAGAAGAUAAGGAAGAUGCUCUAAAUAGGCAUAGUGAAAAGCUGGCUAUUGCAUUUGCCCUAUUGAAGACCCCACCUGGAACUCCCAUUCGGAUUGUGAAGAAUUUGCGGGUGUGUGGGGAUUGUCAUUCAGCCGCCAAGUUCAUCUCCAAGGUCUAUAACCGAGAAAUAGUGAUGAGGGACAGAAAUCGAUUUCACCAUUUCAGGGAUGGGACAUGCUCAUGCAGAGAUUUCUGGUGAUAGGUUAAUUUAUGUUCAUAACUGCUAAUCAUUGAGUAGGAAAUAGCAUUGUUUUGGUCAAGUUUUGCUUGAUGGUGUAGUGAGAAGUGACCUUAACGGGUAGGUGUUGUUCAAUGAAUCCUCCUGCAUGAUCAUUUUUCUGGAUCUUCUGUCAAUUUGAAAAUUAUUGAACCAAAAUUUGUCCAAACCUGAUGUUGUGGCUAGGAAGUGAUGUUUGAUCAUUGGGAAAACCUAUACACUUAUGGAAGAUGCAGUUUGGUGGAGAUGCUUUCACCAGGAUUUACAUUUCCAGUGCUUCUUAUACAUUUUUUAGAGGCUUGGUCUAUAAUGCGAACUGGAGUGCCGCAGCAGUUGGGUACUGGAAAUACUCAGGUGUUGAAGAGGAACCCAUCGUACUAAACUGCGUACCGUGGGAAUGCCAGAGUACCCGAUACUUCUAGUUUACCAGGCUGUAAUCAUUACUUAUGGCUUAUGUGAAUGCCUUUUUUCAUGUGUAGAGUUCUAUAAUCGGAAAACAGAUGAGAUCAGAAAGGCCGGGCUAAGUGUUCAGUAGCUUUCUUGAGUUGUUCUAAGACAUGAUGAGAGCUCGCUUCUGUGGAAAACUCUGGUUGCUCGGUAUUAAAUCCCAUAGAGAUAGGAAAGCACCUGUAGCAGAAACAAACACUCAGACGCAAACUCCUCCCUUGGGGGAAUAUCAAUUGUCUAUUCCUUUCACAGAAUCAAGCUCGCCGAAUAUAAUCAAAGUGAAGCUUCAAGUGCAACACCUCUGCCUGAACCUACACUGGGAUCGCGGUGAAUUGUUACGAUGUGUGCCUCCUUCUGGAGAAGCGCCCAACUGCUUACGAGUCCUAGGAGUUAACAGGUAUGAUAGAGUCCCGAACAGACCGGUCUUCCGGAACGGGCAAUCUUGUUCCGUCUCUCCCAAGGAAUGGGGGAUCGCUGCUGAGAAAGACCCAUUUGCGUGCUCAUCGAGUGAUGAUAAAGCUUGCCCUCCCUCUAAUGUGUUCUAUUUUGGGGCGUAACGUUGUUCCCUCGACUGACCGAGAAAAACAAGUUCCAGAGGCAUCUUCCGUUCAUAUCGAUUUGGGUUUUUCCGCACCAUAUUUUGGGCUUUUGACUUACCUCAAUAGAUAGGCUAUAGGCUCAGGCUCAGUUCAGCUCACAAAGAAGACCUUGACGGAUGAUCUUUUGAAACUCCCAAACCCGAGUGAGACGGAAAAAAGAAAGAGUCAUAAGCCUCGGAAGGAAUGUUUUGAAUGGGACUCUGCUCUAAAAUAGUUCUAUUCUCCUUACUGGUAUUGCAGGCAAAUCCCGUUACUAGUAGUUCUGGUUAGCCCUGAGUUGAAAUUUGCCCUGUUGCCCCUAAACAGCCUGCCAGUUAGACGUUGGCCAUGAAAUCCAUCACUAUACCGAGCAGAUCACAGGCGUUCACAUCUCGGACGAACGGAACUGUGCGUGAUUCUCUCGAUAAACUUAUUGAUCAUGCAGUUUGGUGGAGAUGCUUUCACCAGGAUUUACAUUUCCAGUGCUUAUACGUUUUUUAGAGGCUUGGUCUACAAUGUGAAAUGGAGCGCAGCAGCAGUUGGGUACUGGAAAUUCUCAGUUCUGUACUGGAACUACAUUUUAAAAGAAUGAACUUUACUGAGUUUUGAUACUUAGCAAAUUUAAGUAUAUUGAACUUGAAAGCCAUGGUUCAGGUUUAGCUAGAGUGAGUCGAUUUUUCUUGUGGUUUUUUUUUUUUUUUUUGAGCUGAUAAUGCCAAAACCCUUUUUGUUCCUGCCAAAA